rnacentral:rRNA from 1 species
UACGUAGGGUGCGAGCGUUGUCCGGAAUUAUUGGGCGUAAAGGGCUCGUAGGCGGUUUGUCGCGUCGGGAGUGUAAACCUCGGGCUUAACUCGGGGCUUGCUUUCGAUACGGGCAGACUAGAGGUAUGCAGGGGAGAACGGAAUUCCUGGUGUAGCGGUGAAAUGCGCAGAUAUCAGGAGGAACACCGGUGGCGAAGGCGGUUCUCUGGGCAUGAUCUGACGCUGAGGAGCGAAAGUGUGGGGAGCGAACAGG